rnacentral:rRNA from 1 species
CGGAAUGCUUUCACAUGCAAGUCGAACGGCAGCACGGACUUCGGUCUGGUGGCGUAGUGGCGAACGGGUGAGUAAUACAUCGGAACGUGCCCAAUCGUGGGGGAUAACGUAGCGAAAGCUACGCUAAUACCGCAUACGAUCUAAGGAUGAAAGCGGGGGAUCGCAAGACCUCGCGCGAAUGGAGCGGCCGAUGGCAGAUUAGGUAGUUGGUAGGGUAAAGGCCUACCAAGCCGACGAUCUGUAGCUGGUCUGAGAGGAUGAUCAGCCACACUGGGACUGAGACACGGCCCAGACUCCUACGGGAGGCAGCAGUGGGGAAUUUUGGACAAUGGACGCAAGUCUGAUCCAGCCAUUCCGCGUGCAGGAUGAAGGCCCUCGGGUUGUAAACUGCUUUUGUACAGAACGAAAAGGCUCUGGUUAAUACCUGGGGCUCAUGACGGUACUGUAAGAAUAAGCACCGGCUAACUACGUGCCAGCAGCCGCGGUAAUACGUAGGGUGCAAGCGUUAAUCGGAAUUACUGGGCGUAAAGCGUGCGCAGGCGGUGAUGUAAGACAGAGGUGAAAUCCCCGGGCUCAACCUGGGAACUGCCUUUGUGACUGCAUCGCUGGAGUACGGCAGAGGGGGAUGGAAUUCCGCGUGUAGCAGUGAAAUGCGUAGAUAUGCGGAGGAACACCGAUGGCGAAGGCAAUCCCCUGGGCCUGUACUGACGCUCAUGCACGAAAGCGGUGGGGGAGCAAACAGGAUUAGAUACCCUGGUAGUCCACGCCCUAAACGAUGUCAACUGGUUGUUGGGUCUC